UAGGGAAUAUUGCAAAAUGGGCGAAAGCCCGAUGCAGCAACGCCGCGUGGGCGAUGAAGGCCUUCGGGUCGUAAAGCCCUUUUUGAGGGGAUGAGGAAGGACAGUACCCUCAGAAUAAGCCUCGGCUAACUACGUGCCAGCAGCCGCGGUAAAACGUAGGAGGCGAGCGUUAUCCGGAUUUACUGGGCGUAAAGCGCGUGCGGGCGGAUUGGAGAGUUGGAUGUGAAAGCUCCCGGCUUAACUGGGAGAGGUCGUUCAAUACUUCCAGUCUUGAGUGCAGUAGAGGGAAGUGGAAUUCCGGGUGUAGUGGUGAAAUGCGUAGAUAUCCGGAGGAACACCAGUGGCGAAAGCGGCUUCCUGGACUGUAACUGACGCUCAGACGCGAAAGCUAGGGUAGCAAACG
rnacentral:rRNA from 1 species